rnacentral:rRNA from 1 species
CAGUCGCCGCGGGAACACGUAGGUGGCAAGCGUUGUCCGGAAUUAUUGGGCGUAAAGGGCUCGCAGGCGGUUUCUUAAGUCUGAUGUGAAAGCCCCCGGCUCAACCGGGGAGGGUCAUUGGAAACUGGGAAACUUGAGUGCAGAAGAGGAGAGUGGAAUUCCACAUGUAGCGGUGAAAUGCGUAGAGAUGUGGAGGAACACCAGUGGCGAAGGCGACUCUCUGGUCUGUAACUGACGCUGGGGAGCGAAAGCGUGGGGAGCGAACAGGAUUAGAUACCCCAGUAGUCCAUGUCUCUUAUAA